UACGAAGGGGGCGAGCGUUGCUCGGAAUUACUGGGCGUAAAGCGCACGUAGGCGGAUACUUAAGUCAGGGGUGAAAUCCCGGGGCUCAACCCCGGAACUGCCUUUGAUACUGGGUAUCUCGAGUCCGGAAGAGGUGAGUGGAAUUCCGAGUGUAGAGGUGAAAUUCGUAGAUAUUCGGAGGAACACCGGUGGCGAAGGCGGCUCACUGGUCCGGUACUGACGCUGAGGUGCGAAAGCGUGGGGAGCAAACAGG
rnacentral:rRNA from 1 species